AUACGUAGGUGACAAGCGUUAUCCGGAUUUACUGGGUGUAAAGGGCGUGUAGGCGGUUUAGCAAGUCAGAAGUGAAAUUCCCGGGCUUAACUUGGGCGCUGCUUCUGAAACUGCUUUACUUGAGUGCUGGAGAGGAUAGUGGAAUUCCUAGUGUAGCGGUAAAAUGCGCAGAUAUUAGGAGGAACACCGGUGGCGAAGGCGGCUAUCUGGACAGUAACUGACGCUGAGGCGCGAAAGCACGGGGAGCAAACAGGAUUAGAUACCCUGGUAGUCCGUGCCGUAAACGAUGAAUACUAGGUGUAGGGGGUAUAGACUCCCUCUGUGCCGCAGUUAACACAUUAAGUAUUCCACCUGGGGAGUACGGCCGCAAGGUUGAAACUCAAAGGAAUUGACGGGG
rnacentral:rRNA from 1 species